UGUAUUUUCACCUUGAGAUUCGAAACGUUCACACCAAAUGGAGUGCGCAGUAUCAAACGUCUCCUGUGUCUAUCACAUCUCCCCGGAUAGCGUCUAGCGCGGACUAGCGCGUACCGGAGGUGUAAACAGUAUCCGCAGCAGCGCGCCUUGGGUCAAGUACCUUAGUUGCGAGACUAAAGUUUGGGCCCGCGCCAGUUGGAAACUCACUUCAACUUUCAUCCACCGUGCAGUGCAGUGACGACUUUGUUCAGCGGUUGCCAGCGCAGGAGCCCUAGGCUGCAGUCCUCCAACUUGUCCAACCCGGCAGUUCCGGCACAAUGGCGUAUCAAACCGUCCACUGGCCCGCCGCCCAACGCUACGGUGGCGAAGUAGAUGGAGGAAGAGAGGCGUGCCUGGCGAGAGUCAACAGUGGAACCAUGGCACAAAGCCCUACUGUAGUGCGAUUGAGCGGAGAGUGACGGAGUAAAGCCCGGAGUAGGCACAGCAUGUGUGGGCGUGUGAGUGGGUGGGCGUGUGGGUGGUAGACGACAAGGAUGAGGACUCCCACUCCAACGCACAAUCCAUACGUUGGAGGGAAACCUUGAUCUGUUGCAGUCAGAGCAUGACUGGUAUCGUUGCCAAAAGAGAAAAUCUGUCCCUGUACCGUACAUCUUCAGAUUUUUCAUACUACUUUUGUGACGGGCUUACAUGUAAAUGGUACAAAAUGUGUGUGUUGCAUGCGUGCAUGUGUGUGUUGUAUGUGUGUGUUGUGCGUGUGUGUGCGUGUGUGUGUGUGUGUGUGUGUGUGUGUGUGUGUGUGAUGUGUGUGUGUGUGUGUGUGUGUGUGUGUGUGUGUGUGUGUGUGUGUGUGUUUGCAUGGAAUUAGGUUGUGUGUGCUAUCAUACUGCGUAUUGUGCAAACGGGAGCAGAUCCAUUCUUCUUCCUAUUCUUGUCUAUUGUUAUCUUUUCUUUCCUCUACUGUUUGUCUGCUUGACAUCUUCACCUAUUCUUGCGUAAACAUGCUUCCCCUGUGGCAAGAGCUACAUGUACACUUCAAUCUCCUCUGGGCAUUCACCAAUAUCCGACUGCCACUCGAUUUCAACUCUCCCUGAAGAAAUGUUCCAUCAAAAAAUAA